GGGGAAUCUUGCGCAAUGGCCGAAAGGCUGACGCAGCGACGCCGCGUGCGGGAGGAAGCCCUUCGGGGUGUAAACCGCUGUCAGGAGGGACGAAAGCCAGGGGGAGGGAAUGCCCCCGGGAAGGACGGUACCUCCAGAGGAAGCACCGGCUAACUCCGUGCCAGCAGCCGCGGUAAUACGGAGGGGGCUAGCGUUGUUCGGAAUUACUGGGCGUAAAGCGCACGUAGGCGGCUUUGUAAGGUAGAGGUGAAAGCCCGGGGCUCAACUCCGGAACUGCCUUUAAGACUGCAUCGCUUGAACAUCGGAGAGGUAAGUGGAAUUCCGAGUGUAGAGGUGAAAUUCGUAGAUAUUCGGAAGAACACCAGUGGCGAAGGCGACUUACUGGACGAUUGUUGACGCUGAGGUGCGAAAGCGUGGGGAGCAAA
rnacentral:rRNA from 1 species